GCCCUUGUAGCUUAAUAGGUUAAAGCGUUGGUCUUGUAAGCCAAAAAUUGUGAGUUCAAUCCUCACCUUGGGCA
rfam:Edhazardia aedis TSNM 41457 supercont1.75, whole genome shotgun sequence.